rnacentral:lncRNA from 1 species
CUGGAUAUGCAUUAUUCAUAAAUGCAGACAAAAGUGUGGAAUUAGCAAUCCAUAGGAGGAGCAACAUUUUCAUCACCUAAUUCUGCUGAAGCUACAUAGCAGAAUUUGUAGUCUCUGAACACACAAGAUGAUUUAGUCAGAGCAUCUGAUAUGUAAAUAACAAAAGCUGGUAUAUAUGAAAAUGUAGAAGCGAGAUUGUCCUUGGAAAAUUUAGUAGAUAAUUACUAGUCAACUUCAGCAGCCGAAUCACCCAUUGACCCAAGCGAGCAGGAGAAGCACAUUGUAUCCUCGUUGAUCCACAACAAUGGGGAAACAAGCUGUUGGGGAGUGUUGCCGGAGGAAUUUCAGAUGCGUGGAAAAGCACCUAGCAGAAAAAGAAAAAAAGAUGAACACAUGCUCCAGUAUAAUCUGAGGCGCCAGCCUCUUAAUCAAAACAAUUAGUAUUACUCCCAUCUAUUAACAAUGGCCUGAGAUGCUCAUAUAUAGGCUAGUGCAAGAUAGUAGUACUAGGAAUCCAACGUGGUUGGAACAAACAAGAUGAACAAGUGAUUUAACAGAGAGAAACUAUAGCCACCGACCUGAACAGGAAUAUCGCUAUGUAUAGGAGACCGGCUACCAGCAGAACAGCAGCAAGCGACACAUGCAGCAACAGAUGAUUUUUGGGAAAGGACCUAUAUUUUUACAUCAGCAACACACCCAUAUGCAACCAUAUAGCCGCAGUAGUACUCUACGUAUAGCCGUCGUAGAACUUCACGGCCGCUCAUUAAACUACUGUUCAUCAUUUCCUUGUUCAACUAGGUGGUUUUUCCUUCGACUAUUCAUUGCUUUAUGUCAUUAUAGAACAUAGAUGAUAGUGAUACCCUCGUUAAGCUAUUUGUACAAAGCAUAUGUAAGCCCAUCUUUCGUAAGUUAGCAAGUAUAGGUUAAUGCAAUAACUCGACAGACAUGUACAGAAAGCAAACUGAUGCAGAUUUGUAAUUCUUCUCUCCAGCAAUGCACUUGUAUCAACUGAAAAUACAUUUUUUUAAGUUAGCAGGAGGGCUGCUAAGAUACCAUUUUAGAAGAUGUUCACCUCAAUCAUAGAGCAGAGUACCGACAAUUGAUGAGUAGUAAUGUGCCUCCAACUCCUUAAGGCUUGCUGCUACCUCCUGCGGUCCUGCCCCAAUCCUCCCAGCAUUUUAUCUGUCCCCUCUGCCUGCUGAGCACCUCAAUGUUUAAGCAUAAACACAAACAGUGGAGAAAGAGUUGUACGCGAGCGCUACGAUCGAGUUGCACCUUAGCUAGGAGUCGGGCAACGGCGAGCUGCACCUCAGCUACGGCCACACCCAUGGCACGGGCGUGAUUUUGGGCGGAGCCGUAGAAGGCACAUUUAUUCC